GAUGAACGCUGGCGGCGUGCCUAAUACAUGCAAGUCGAACGAGAGUCUUAGGACUCUAGUGGCGAACGGGUGAGUAACACGUAGGUAAUCUACCUUUAAGACGAGGAUAACGUCUGGAAACGGACGCUAAUACUGGAUAGUACAUUCUGUUGCAUGAUAGAGUGUUUAAAGAUGCCCCAAAGCAUUACUUAAAGAGGAGCCUGCGGCGCAUUAGCUAGUUGGUGGGGUAAAGGCCUACCAAGGCGACGAUGCGUAGCCGGACUGAGAGGUUGAACGGCCACAUUGGGACUGAGACACGGCCCAAACUCCUACGGGAGGCAGCAGUAGGGAAUUUUCGGCAAUGGGGGAAACCCUGACCGAGCAACGCCGCGUGAAUGAAGAAGUAUUUCGGUAUGUAAAAUUCUUUUAUUAGGGAAGAACGAUUUUAGUAGGAAAUGACUAGAAAGUGACGGUACCUAAUGAAUAAGUCCCGGCUAACUACGUGCCAGCAGCCGCGGUAAUACGUAGGGGACGAGCGUUAUCCGGAAUUAUUGGGCGUAAAGGGUGCGUAGGCGGUAUAUUAAGUCUGAGGUUAAAGUGCGGUGCUCAACGCCGUGAAGCCUUGGAAACUGGUAUACUUGAGUUUGGUAGAGGUAAGUGGAAUUCCAUGUGUAGCGGUAAAAUGCGUAAAUAUAUGGAGGAACACCAGUGGCGAAGGCGGCUUACUGGACCAGAACUGACGCUGAGGCACGAAAGCGUGGGGAGCAAACAGGAUUAGAUACCCUGGUAGUCCACGCCGUAAACGAUGAGUACUAAGUGUUGGGAAGACCCAGUGCUGAAGUUAACGCAUUAAGUACUCCGCCUGAGUAGUACGCACGCAAGUGUGAAACUCAAAGGAAUUGACGGGACCCCGCACAAGCGGUGGAGCAUGUUGUUUAAUUCGAAGAUACGCGAAGAACCUUACCAGGUCUUGACAUACUCAGCAAAGCUAUAGAGAUAUAGUGGAGGAUAACUGAGAUACAGGUGGUGCAUGGUUGUCGUCAGCUCGUGUCGUGAGAUGUUGGGUUAAGUCCCGCAACGAGCGCAACCCUUGUUGCUAGUUACCAUCAUUAAGUUGGGGACUCUAGCGAGACUGCCAGUGAUAAACUGGAGGAAGGUGGGGAUGACGUCAAAUCAUCAUGCCCCUUAUGACCUGGGCUACAAACGUGCUACAAUGGCCAUUACAAAGGGAAGCGAAGCCGCGAGGUGGAGCAAAACCCAUAAAGGUGGUCUCAGUUCGGAUUGGAGUCUGCAACUCGACUCCAUGAAGUUGGAAUCGCUAGUAAUCGCGAAUCAGAAUGUCGCGGUGAAUACGUUCUCGGGGUUUGUACACACCGCCCGUCAAACCAUGGGAGUUUGUAAUACCCGAAGCCGGUGGCCUAACUGAAAAGAGGGAGCCGUCUAAGGUAGGACAGAUGACUGGGGUU
rnacentral:rRNA from 1 species